rnacentral:lncRNA from 1 species
UCCUUCCCGCGUAGAUAGGCAGUCGGCGAUCGAACCGACGGCUGGCCAGCCGGCCGGUUGGUUUCUCUACGGGUGGACACCUGCUUGCCAGUCACCACGGUUGCCGUAGCCCGGCCCCCGGGUUAGAUGACCCAGCCUGAUCAGCCGCAGCCAGCCGGCGUUGCCUCCUUGUAUCGCCGCCAUGAUCACGAUGCAGCCUUGGAUCAGCACGACGGCGGCCACCACCACCGCCUUUGCCUUGGCCAUGACCGCGCGCCGCAGACGACGCCUAGUGAAUUUUGCCGGACGAACAAGGUCGAUGGAUCGCGUUCGGGGUGGUACGGUUGUUGGAGCGAAGAGAGACGUACGGGCAUGUUUUAUAGGUCCGUGACGAGAGUUUGGAGCGAAGAGAGAUGUACGCCGUUAAAAGUAUUACCUAGU